UACAGAGGUCUCAAGCGUUGUUCGGAUUCAUUGGGCGUAAAGGGUGCGUAGGUGGCGCUGUAAGUCGGGUGUGAAAUUUCGGAGCUUAACUCCGAAACUGCAUUCGAUACUGCCGUGCUUGAGGACUGGAGAGGAGACUGGAAUUUACGGUGUAGCGGUGAAAUGCGUAGAUAUCGUAAGGAAGACCAGUGGCGAAGGCGGGUCUCGUGGACAGUUCCUGACGCUGAGGCACGAAGGCCAGGGGAGCAAACGGG
rnacentral:rRNA from 1 species